GACGAACGCUGGCGGCGUGCUUAACACAUGCAAGUCGAACGGGUCUGCCCUGUUUUUUGCGGGGUGGGUCAGUGGCGAACGGGUGAGUAACACGUGAGUAACCUGCCCCUCACUUCUGGAUAACCGCUUGAAAGGGUGGCUAAUACGGGGUGUUCUGGCUGUGCCGCAUGGUGUGGCUGGGAAAGAUUCACUUUUGUGGUGUUUUGGUGGGGGAUGGGCUCGCGGCCUAUCAGCUUGUUGGUGGGGUGAUGGCCUGCCAAGGCUUUGACGGGUAGCCGGCCUGGGAGGGUGGGCGGGCACACUGGGACUGAGAUACGGCCCAGACUCCUGCGGGAGGCAGCAGUGGGGGGUAUUGCACAAUGGGGGGAAGCCUGAUGCAGCGACGUCGCGUGAGGGAUGGAGGCCUUCGGGUUGUGAACCUCUUUCGCCGGUGAAGAAGGUCCUGCUCUUUGUGGUGGGGUUGACGGUAGCCGGGUUAUGAAGCGCCGGCUAACUACGUG
rnacentral:rRNA from 1 species